rnacentral:rRNA from 1 species
UACAGAGGUCCCGAGCGUUGUUCGGAUUCACUGGGCGUAAAGGGUGCGUAGGUGGCGAAGUAAGUCGGAUGUGAAAUCUCGGAGCUUAACUCCGAAACGGCAUUGGAAACUACUUUGCUAGAGGUUUGGAGGGGGGACUGGAAUGCUUGGUGUAGCAGUGAAAUGCGCAGAUAUCAGGAGGAACACCGAUGGCGAAGGCAGGUCUCUGGGCAUUAACUGACGCUGAGGAGCGAAAGCAUGGGGAGCGAACAGG